GCGUUUGUGGUGUAAUGGUUAGCACACUCGGCGCGUAUUCGAAAGGUCCAGGUUCGAGUCCCGGCUAGGGCA
rnacentral:tRNA from 1 species